GUGCGCUUGUGAGGGUGCUGUUAAUGUACUGUGUGUGAGGGUGCUGCUUGUGUGUUAGGGAACUGGUAGUGUGCUGUGUGUGUGUGUUUGUUAGGGUCCUGUUUGUGUUUGUGAGGUUACUGUUAGUAUGCUGUGUGAGGAUGCAGGCCCUGGGGAGUCAGCACAGCUAAACGGACAAGGGCACAUAUAUGAGUGUGGGGAUGGUGCUAG